AGGAAGGAGAGUGAAUCUAAAACAAUCAUUUUCCAAUUAGGAUAUAUUUAAUAAUAAAAAUUUGAAGAAAGAUCAAGUGAUAUGCGUUGUUAUUAAAACAGUAUUUUUUUGGUUGUAGUGGUGUGAGUGCAGAUGCGCGAGUAACAUGGUACAUCAGUGUUCAGACUGGUACGGAUUCAUGGAACCACAAUUUGUACCUUCCAAAUAUAUGAAUAUUUUGAAAUUCGAGACACUCGAGGAUCCCGUACGCACGUAAAAAGUUUUGGAUUCUCGCCCGAUUUCAUCCGAUCUGAGAUUUACAGAUAAUUCCAUAAAUUAUCGAUAGCGAAUGAAAGAAUUAUUUACAGUCAUUAAUGCUCGAGGUGCAACGAUGUUAUCAAGACAAAACAAUUCACGAUAAUGUAUUGAUAGUAUUAUCUAUGGGCUUUAUCGCGUGACCACAAAUAUUCAUGAUCGAGGUGAAAAUAAAUUACACUAAAAUCA